CGGGAGACGCACGCGGGAGACGCACGCGGGAGACGCACGACGUCCGAGUCUCGCCGUGAACGCGGCCAAUCGCGCGCCAUCUCCUCGCCUACUGUACGUCCCCUGCUCUUCCCCUGCGAGGCUGAGACGGGCGCGAGUCGAGACGGCAGGCGUUGCUAUGGCAACGGGAGACGGCGCCAGCGAGGGGAACCGGGGCAGAUGCAACAGUGAGUGAAAACGACCAAAUAAACACCGGGCUCGCUGCAGAUUAACGAUCUCGCGGACUUCCAGAAAAGUCCACAAACACCAGCUCUGGAAGGAUGAAGCACCGCGGUACAAAGGACGCCCAUCACCAUGGUCACAGGCGGCAGGUUGCUGAGCGGAGCGCGGCUCUCGGCGACUUCGCGGCAGGAAUGAAGGGGGAGACCGAGAUCGGGCUCCGAUGUGGCAGCAUUGAAGGGAAAACGGAGUGACAAGAGGAGGAGGAGGCCCGCACUCAAGGUGGAGAGCCGGAUCCUGCUAGGCCCGAGGGCCACGGCACUACAGGAAUACGCCUGUCAAUUGACAUUUGAGCGCAAUCUGCAGCGGCUGGAUUUGCGCAGGAAUGCAGCGGAGGCGCAAAACGUGGCGCGGUCAAUAGGUGCGUUUCAACGUAGCCAUGAAAACGGGUGCGGGGGUCACGCACAGUGGAGGAAAUGAUGUUUGGUCACGCAGGAUUUAAACGGCCGUAAAACAUCUGUAUCGCGUCAGAGACACGGCGAGUCUGGAUCCGUGCGCGGCGGCUCCCGUUAGCUGAAAUGUGACACGAGACGUACCGCACUCACACACGCAAACGCACGCACGCACUCGCGUCCUACCUGCAGUCGCUCCGACGCGGGUUGCCACAUAUUAGCAGGGUCGCGGGUUCGGUUCCGUACAGCUCGAUCUCUUUCCGCAGCCCGGAUCACAUCUGCUCGCUGUCACGCCGUGCUUCUCUGUCCUCCCUCCGUCUGGGCUGCUCCGCGCUGAGGGAUGUGUUGCUCCGCCUGCCUGUAGUUGGUGGACCGGCCAGCAGGUGGAGGUACCUGUCGGCUCCGCGUGCCGCGUUCACGUCCUUCGGGAGAUCGCGUUCUCCGCCGGAGAGUUGACAAACGGACUGCCAGGAACCGGCUACACGUGAAAAUGUCACUUCCGUGUAUUUUAUCACGAUUGGCUAAACAAUUUGACACUGUUGUGGUAGUUAUUCACUGUAAUGUAAAAAACAAAACCAUCUGUAUUAACAUAUUACCUACAGAGGGAUUUGACCUUUUACCUCUGAUAUCUGCCCAGUGUGGACAAAGAUAGAUGGUGACCCAUAAUCUGAACUUACUACAGACAAGUUGAUGGUCUACAUCAAUUAUUGAUAUUUAUUUAACAACACAUAAACAGGACACCAAGUGACACAUGUGUGCAGGUUGUUCUGAGGAAACUAUCAUAUAACAACAUUGUUUCAGUGUUAAUAAAAACGUGCCCUGCUUACAGUUCUGUUCAUGUUUCACAAGAGCAGCUUAGGACAAAGUCCAUAGUGAUUUGCUAGUCAUGCCCACAUUUCAUUCUUCUUAAGCUUCUUAACAUUCAGCCUGCCUGAUUGUUUUAUGACUGAACAUUUCUUACAUGUUCCUCCUGGGAUUUAGAGGUACUGUAGAUCCUCAGCAACAUAAUCCAAAACUGUCUGAAAUUGUGGAAUGAAAUAUCUUAUUGAUGCUAACUAUAAAAACUAUAUAAAACUAUAAAAAAAAUAAUUACCAGUUUUACCGAAAUUCUUUUUUAAACUGAAAAUAUACGUGUGUGUUGAAUCAAGUCAGACAGCAAAUGCCAGACCCUCAAGGACCAAAGACCACGCACACGGGCUUCAAAGCAACUCAGAGGUGACGCAGGUACGUGUGCUGAGCGUCAUGACUCAGCAGUCACACUCUGUGCUCAGAGAUGUUUACAUCUGGAACAUCUGGCUGAAGCAUGGAGUCCGUGUUGUGUUAACAUCGCCAACACUUAAUAAAGAGUCCUCAUGGGUCCCGAUGGCUUCCGUCUGGCGCAUACGACCUGAAGACGCUGCAGACAAAAACAGAUGCUGCGGAGAACGUGCGUCUUCUGGAUUUGGCUCAAAAAAUAGGAUGAAGUGUUUAAAAUAUAAUCAUCAUUUUACAUUUGUGCGUCUCUCUCAGCUUGACAGUAUUGUUUGCUUUUGAGUUUCGCGAGGCUCCCAUUUUGUGACUCACUCACGCAGAAAACUAGGAAACUGAAAACAGCUUUUGCACCGGCGGACAGAAUCCACACACGACACCGGGCGAGCACCGUGGAUUGUGUUCCUUUGAAUCUUUAUUGUUUACAUCAUUCAACAUAGAUAUUAGGUAAUCAUGUGGCUGCUGUGCUGGGAGAAAAUAAUUCAGAGGAUUAGCUGAGCCUAUUGAGAGGAACAACACAGCGGCACAGACGGGCUUUUCCAGUGGUAGGACACAAAAGCACAUGUAGUAUACUGUAUAUGCUUCUCUUCCUCUCCUCCUCCCCUAAAGCGAGAAGGAACAAACAAACAAACAAACAAACAAACAAACAAACAAACAAACAAACAAACAAAC